UACAGAGGUCUCAAGCGUUGUUCGGAUUCAUUGGGCGUAAAGGGUGCGUAGGCGGCGCGGUAAGUCGGGUGUGAAAUCUCGGAGCUUAACUCCGAAACUGCAUUCGAUACUGCCGUGCUUGAGGACUGGAGAGGAGACUGGAAUUUACGGUGUAGCGGUGAAAUGCGUAGAUAUCGAGAGGAACACCUGCGGCGAAGGCAGCUCGCUGGGACGGUACUGACGCUGAGGCGCGAAAGCGUGGGGAGCAAACAGG
rnacentral:rRNA from 1 species